rnacentral:rRNA from 1 species
UCAGACGAUGCGUCACGCAUAUCAAUAAGCGGAGGAAAAGAAACUAACAAGGAUUCCCUUAGUAACGGCGAGUGAAGCGGGAAGAGCUCAAAUUUGAAAUCUUCAAGGUUUUACCUUGACGAAUUGUAGUUUAAAGAAGUGUUUUCUGCUGUAGUUUUGGUAAAAGUUCUUUGGAAUAGGACAUCAUAGAGGGUGAGAAUCCCGUAUUUGACCAUUAUUUUCAGCUUUGUGAUACACUUUCAAAGAGUCGGAUUGUUUGGGAAUGCAGCCCAAAACGGGAGGUAAAUUUCUUCUAAGGCUAAAUAUUGGCGAGAGACCGAUAGCGAACAAGUACCGUGAGGGAAAGAUGAAAAGAACUUUGAAAAGAGAGUUAAACUAGUACGUGAAAUUGUCAAAAGGGAAGCGUUUGACACCAGUGUUGUUUUUCUGAAAAUCAAUUAAAGAACUGUUUAUGCUAAGCUGUUUAGACUUUAUCAGCUAACUGUUUAGUUCUGAGCUUUUCUUUAAUGCACCUUUCAGUUAACAAGUCAACAUCAAUUUCUUUUGCUGUAAAAAAGCUUGAGGAAGGUGGCUUGAGAUUCGUCUUAAGUGUUUAUAGCCUCUUGCCUAUGCAGUCGGAGAGAUUGAGGUCUGCAGCGUAGAUCCUUCGGGGCUAAAUGCAUUUGUGCUAAGUUAUAGCAUUUUAUAGACAACUUGUUGACUAUGAUUUGUCUUGUAGCUUACUCGCUUAUGUUAUUUUACCUACGCUUAGGAUGUUGACUGAUAUGUAGUCGUA